rnacentral:rRNA from 1 species
GAUGAACGCUGGCGGCGUGCCUAAUACAUGCAAGUCGAGCGAACGGACGAGAAGCUUGCUUCUCUGAUGUUAGCGGCGGACGGGUGAGUAACACGUGGAUAACCUACCUAUAAGACUGGGAUAACUUCGGGAAACCGGAGCUAAUACCGGAUGAUAUUUUGAACCGCAUGGUUCAAAAGUGAAAGACGGUCUUGCUGUCACUUAUAGAUGGAUCCGCGCUGCAUUAGCUAGUUGGUAAGGUAACGGCUUACCAAGGCAACGAUGCAUAGCCGACCUGAGAGGGUGAUCGGCCACACUGGAACUGAGACACGGUCCAGACUCCUACGGGAGGCAGCAGUAGGGAAUCUUCCGCAAUGGGCGAAAGCCUGACGGAGCAACGCCGCGUGAGUGAUGAAGGUCUUCGGAUCGUAAAACUCUGUUAUUAGGGAAGAACAUAUGUGUAAGUAACUGUGCACAUCUUGACGGUACCUAAUCAGAAAGCCACGGCUAACUACGUGCCAGCAGCCGCGGUAAUACGUAGGUGGCAAGCGUUAUCCGGAAUUAUUGGGCGUAAAGCGCGCGUAGGCGGUUUUUUAAGUCUGAUGUGAAAGCCCACGGCUCAACCGUGGAGGGUCAUUGGAAACUGGAAAACUUGAGUGCAGAAGAGGAAAGUGGAAUUCCAUGUGUAGCGGUGAAAUGCGCAGAGAUAUGGAGGAACACCAGUGGCGAAGGCGACUUUCUGGUCUGUAACUGACGCUGAUGUGCGAAAGCGUGGGGAUCAAACAGGAUUAGAUACCCUGGUAGUCCACGCCGUAAACGAUGAGUGCUAAGUGUUAGGGGGUUUCCGCCCCUUAGUGCUGCAGCUAACGCAUUAAGCACUCCGCCUGGGGAGUACGACCGCAAGGUUGAAACUCAAAGGAAUUGACGGGGACCCGCACAAGCGGUGGAGCAUGUGGUUUAAUUCGAAGCAACGCGAAGAACCUUACCAAAUCUUGACAUCCUCUGACCCCUCUAGAGAUAGAGUUUUCCCCUUCGGGGGACAGAGUGACAGGUGGUGCAUGGUUGUCGUCAGCUCGUGUCGUGAGAUGUUGGGUUAAGUCCCGCAACGAGCGCAACCCUUAAGCUUAGUUGCCAUCAUUAAGUUGGGCACUCUAAGUUGACUGCCGGUGACAAACCGGAGGAAGGUGGGGAUGACGUCAAAUCAUCAUGCCCCUUAUGAUUUGGGCUACACACGUGCUACAAUGGACAAUACAAAGGGCAGCGAAACCGCGAGGUCAAGCAAAUCCCAUAAAGUUGUUCUCAGUUCGGAUUGUAGUCUGCAACUCGACUAUAUGAAGCUGGAAUCGCUAGUAAUCGUAGAUCAGCAUGCUACGGUGAAUACGUUCCCGGGUCU